rnacentral:rRNA from 1 species
CGUGGGUGACCUACCUUCGAAUGGGGGAUAACGUCCCGAAAGGGACGCUAAUACCGCAUAACAUCCUGCUUUUGAACAAGUGGAGAUCAAAGCCGGGGAUCGCAAGACCUGGCGUUUGAAGAGGGGCCCGCGUCUGAUUAGCUAGUUGGUGAGGUAAUGGCCCACCAAGGCGACGAUCAGUAUCCGGCCUGAGAGGGCGGACGGACACACUGGGACUGAGACACGGCCCAGACUCUCCUACGGGAGGCAGCAGUGGGGAAUUGUUCGCAAUGGGCGCAAGCCUGACGACGCAACGCCGCGUGGAGGAUGAAGGUCUUCGGAUUGUAAACUCCUGUUGCCCGGGACGAAACGCUUCGACCUAACACGUCGAAGUCUGACGGUACCGGGUGAGGAAGCCCCGGCUAACUCUGUGCCAGCAGCCGCGGUAAUACAGAGGGGGCAAGCGUUGUUCGGAAUUACUGGGCGUAAAGGGCGCGUAGGCGGCCUGCUAAGUCGAACGUGAAAUCCCCGGGCUCAACCCGGGAAACUGCGUCCGAUACUGGUUGGCUUGAAUCCCGGGAGAGGGAUGCGGAAUUCCAGGUGUAGCGGUGAAGUGCGUAGAUAUCUGGAGGACACCGGUGG